rnacentral:rRNA from 1 species
GGGGGAAGGAAGAAAAUAGGUAAGUCGAGCGUAUGACGGGAGCUUGCUCCUGGAUUCAGCGGCGGACGGGUGAGUAAUGCCUAGGAAUCUGCCUGGUAGUGGGGGAUAACGUCCGGAAACGGGCGCUAAUACCGCAUACGUCCUGAGGGAGAAAGUGGGGGAUCUUCGGACCUCACGCUAUCAGAUGAGCCUAGGUCGGAUUAGCUAGUUGGUGGGGUAAAGGCCUACCAAGGCGACGAUCCGUAACUGGUCUGAGAGGAUGAUCAGUCACACUGGAACUGAGACACGGUCCAGACUCCUACGGGAGGCAGCAGUGGGGAAUAUUGGACAAUGGGCGAAAGCCUGAUCCAGCCAUGCCGCGUGUGUGAAGAAGGUCUUCGGAUUGUAAAGCACUUUAAGUUGGGAGGAAGGGCAGUAAGUUAAUACCUUGCUGUUUUGACGUUACCAACAGAAUAAGCACCGGCUAACUUCGUG